GAUGAACGCUGGCGGCGUGCCUAAUACAUGCAAGUCGAGCGAACAGAUGAGGAGCUUGCUCCUCUGACGUUAGCGGCGGACGGGUGAGUAACACGUGGAUAACCUACCUAUAAGACUGGGAUAACUUCGGGAAACCGGAGCUAAUACCGGAUAAUAUAUUGAACCGCAUGGUUCAAUAGUGAAAGACGGUUUUGCUGUCACUUAUAGAUGGAUCCGCGCCGCAUUAGCUAGUUGGUAAGGUAACGGCUUACCAAGGCAACGAUGCGUAGCCGACCUGAGAGGGUGAUCGGCAACACUGGAACUGAGACACGGUCCAGACUCCUACGGGAGGCAGAAGUAGGGAAUCUUCCGCAAAGGGCGAAAGCCUGACGGAGCAACGCCGCGUGAGUGAUGAAGGUCUUCGGAUCGUAAAACUCUGUUAUUAGGGAAGAACAAAUGUGUAAGUAACUAUGCACGUCUUGACGGUACCUAAUCAGAAAGCCACGGCUAACUACGUG
rnacentral:rRNA from 1 species